AUUUGUUAUUUUCUAAGGGGGUUAGGGUGAACUAUUCGAUGGGUCAAAUAGCCGUUUACUGUUAACGAUAGCACUGUGACGUCAUCGGGGUGGGGAGAAGAGGACAAAGCAUUAAAAUCUUCGUCCUUUUCUCGCAAGUUUUGCUCGAAAACUCAUCUAGACAGACCCUUAAGAGUGGAAGUGCUUGCAAGUUAAUUCUUGAUCAAGGCUGCACCCACAAAAGAUUGAGGCUAUUGGAGAUUGUUUGAAGGAAAUUUGGCCCUUUCGGAGAGGUUGCGUUCCGGUUAUAAGGCAAGUAUGAUUAACGGUGAUCAGGUAGCCGAUACUUGAUUCAUUUAGCUUCUUCAGUCCAGUUCAGUAGAGAUUUUUUUUUUUGCAGCAUAGUAGUUGCACAGAUAUGGUGCCGAAAAGGUUGUACAAUCUCACUAGUUAUCUUUGAGAACCGCAGUGGUAGCUUACAGAUUGGUUUUACCACCAACUUUAUCAGAAGUUCAUUCAGUUUAUUUCAUGUUUCAUGGUCCAAAAAUACUCCCAAGACCUGAGCCAUAUUGUUCAGGUUGUUGACCACGAGGCGGUUCAGCUCGAUUAGAAAUUGGCCUAUGAGGUGGCCCCCAUAAGCUAUUUUGGACAAAAAGGUUUGCCAGUUGAGAUCCAUGAGUAUUCCUUCAGUAAAAGGGUUGGGGAGGAACCAUCUGAACGAGGAGGCUACUUGUUAUGCGGAGCAGGGCAUUCAGGACGGAUACUCACAAUUUUUUUAAGGUGUGGUUAACGGUGACCAGGUAGCCGAUACUUGAUUCAUUCCAGCUUCGUUCAGUCCAGUUCAGUAGAGGUGAGCCACCAUUAGAUCAUGGGGGCUUCUUCUUCUUUAGUUGACUUAGUAGUAUUCCGAGCUACGUCUCGUACUUUUAUAUUCAGACUAGUAGUUCCAUGACUUAGACAUUUGAUGGGGUUUAUGGGUAAGACUCAGUAUUUAUAUUUCGCUUCAGUACUUUUCUUUAUAUUAUGAGACUUUGCGUAUUAUUCAUUUUAUUCGUUAAUUUUCACAUGAUUAGCUUAGAGGGUUCGCCUUAUGGGUAGAAGAUCGUCAGGUACCCAGUCACAGCCUGAGUGUCAGAUUGUGUCGUGACAGUGAAAUAGAUUGGUUUUGAGUUGAGAGAAUUUUGGGCUAAUAAGAGCAGUAGCGCAGAAGUUCAGUCCUUUACUUCUUCCUUUUUUUCAAAUCUGGGCCUGGCCCAAGAGUGGCAUUCAAAAAAUUGUACUUAUGAUUAUUUUUUUAUGUAAAUAGCUUGUAUCUAUGUAUAUUGUAGAGUUACACUUACUUUGAGUAAUUAGUUUCUCUUCUUUUCUUCUU